UACGGAGGGGGCUAGCGUUGUUCGGAAUUACUGGGCGUAAAGCGCACGUAGGCGGACUGUUAAGUCGGGGGUGAAAUCCUGGGGCUCAACCUCAGAAUUGCCUCCGAUACUGGCAGUCUCGAGUGCGGGAGAGGUGAGUGGAAUUCCCAGUGUAGAGGUGAAAUUCGUAGAUAUUGGGAAGAACACCAGUGGCGAAGGCGGCUCACUGGCCCGUAACUGACGCUGAGGUGCGCAAGCGUGGGGAGCAAACAGG
rnacentral:rRNA from 1 species